rnacentral:rRNA from 1 species
UACGGGGGGAGCAAGCGUUGUUCGGAUUUACUGGGCGUAAAGGGCGCGUAGGCGGCGCAACAAGUCACUUGUGAAAUCUCCGGGCUUAACCCGGAGCGGUCAAGUGAUACUGUCGUGCUAGAGUGCGGAAGGGGCUACUGGAAUUCUCGGUGUAGAGGUGAAAUUCGUAGAUAUCGAGAGGAACACCGGUGGCGAAGGCGGCCUUCUGGACAGUGACUGACGCUGAGACGCGAAAGCGUGGGGAGCAAACAGG